rnacentral:rRNA from 1 species
UACGUAGGGCGCAAGCGUUGUCCGGAAUUAUUGGGCGUAAAGAGCUCGUAGGCGGCUUGUCACGUCGAUUGUGAAAGCCCGAGGCUUAACCUCGGGUCUGCAGUCGAUACGGGCUAGCUAGAGUGUGGUAGGGGAGAUCGGAAUUCCUGGUGUAGCGGUGAAAUGCGCAGAUAUCAGGAGGAACACCGGUGGCGAAGGCGGGUCUCUGGGCCGAUACUGACGCUGAGGAGCGAAAGCGUGGGGAGCGAACAGG